rnacentral:tRNA from 1 species
GCCCUGCUAGCUCAGUCUGUAGAGUGUGUGACUCUCGAUCUCAGGGUUGUGAGUUCGAGCCCCAUAUUGGGUG